GACGAACGCUGGCGGCGUGCUUAACACAUGCAAGUCGAGCGGUAAGGCCCUUUCGGGGUACACGAGCGGCGAACGGGUGAGUAACACGUGGGUGACCUGCCCUCAGCUCUGGGAUAAGCCUGGGAAACCGGGUCUAAUACCGGAUAUGACUCCAUGACGCAUGUUGUGGGGUGGAAAGCCUUGUGCGGCUGAGGAUGGGCCCGCGGCCUAUCAGCUUGUUGGUGGGGUNANGGCCCUACCAAGGCGACGACGGGUAGCCGGCCUGAGAGGGCGACCGGCCACACUGGGACUGAGACACGGCCCAGACUCCUACGGGAGGCAGCAGUGGGGAAUCUUGCGCAAUGGGCGAAAGCCUGACGCAGCGACGCCGCGUGA
rnacentral:rRNA from 1 species